UUGCUUACCCAGCACAUAUAUUAAAAUUAUAAUGAUACAGAGAAGAUUAGGAUGGUCCCUGAACAAGGAUGACACACCAAUUUGUGAAGCAUUUCAUAUUUUU